GUCCAGGCUAUUCUCCAUAUUUGCUUUUGACUUAAUUACCGCUAUAUCAGCCAAGUGGGACUCUGUGUUGUUUUAUUCUCGUGAAAUAUUGUGAUGGAAAGAAAACAGUAAAAUAUGUUAUAGAAUGCUGAAUGCUUACUGCACUAGAUAAAAGUUUGACUAUAAACGGCCGUGCACCUCCUGAAAAAAAUUGAAAUGGCGGAUGAGAUUGUAAAAUAUGUACAAGAAAUACAGAUAUCCCAGAGGUUUA